GCCGCGGUAAUACGUAGGGGGCGAGCGUUAUCCGGAUUCAUUGGGCGUAAAGCGCUCGUAGGCGGCCUGCUAGGUCGGGAGUCAAAUGCGGGGGCCCAACCCCCGGCCGCUCCCGAUACCGGCGGGCUUGAGUUUGGUAGGGGAAGGCGGAAUUCCCGGUGUAGCGGUGGAAUGCGCAGAUAUCGGGAAGAACACCGGUGGCGAAGGCGGCCUUCUGGGCCACAACUGACGCUGAGGAGCGAAAGCUGGGGGAGCGAACAGGAUUAGAUACCCUGGUAGUCCCAGCCGUAAACGAUGGACACUAGGUGUGGGGGGGACGCCCCUCCGUGCCGCAGCCAACGCAUUAAGUGUCCCGCCUGGGGAGUACGGCCGCAAGGCUAAAACUCAAAGGAAUUGACGGGGGCCCGCACAAGCAGCGGAGCAUGUGGCUUAAUUCGAAGCAACGCGAAGAACCUUACCAGGGCUUGACAUCUUGGUGAAGCGGCGGAGACGCCGUGGCCGAGAGGAGCCAAGACAGGUGGUGCAUGGCUGUCGUCAGCUCGUGUCGUGAGAUGUUGGGUUAAGUCCCGCAACGAGCGCAACCCCCGUCGCAUGUUGCCAGCGGUCCGGCCGGGCACCCAUGCGAGACCGCCGGCGUCAAGCCGGAGGAGGGCGGGGACGACGUCAAGUCAUCAUGCCCCUUAUGCCCUGGGCUGCACACGUGCUACAAUGGCCGGCACAGCGGGCUGCCAGGCGGCGACGCCGAGCGAAUCCCCAAAGCCGGCCCCAGUUCGGACCGGGGGCUGCAACCCGCCCCCGCGAAGUCGGAGUUGCUAGUAAUCGCGGAUCAGCACGCCGCGGUGAAUGCGUUCCCGGGCCUUGUACACACCGCCCGUCACACCACCCGAGUCGACUGCACCCGAAGUCGCCGGCCCAACCAGCAAUGGGGGGGAGGCGCCGAAGGUGUGGCUGGUAAGGGGGGUGAAGUCGUAACAAGGUAGCCGUACCGGAAGGUGCGGCUG
rnacentral:rRNA from 1 species